rnacentral:rRNA from 1 species
AGAGUUUGAUCAUGGCUCAGGACGAACGCUGGCGGCGUGCCUAACACAUGCAAGUCGAGCGGUAAGGCCCCUUCGGGGGUACACGAGCGGCGAACGGGUGAGUAACACGUGAGCAACCUACCCCUCAACACUGGGAUAAGCCCGGGAAACCGGGUCUAAUACCGGAUAACUCUUCAGUCGACAUCUUCUGAAGAUAAAAGUUCCGGCGGUUGAGGAUGGGCUCGCGGCCUAUCAGCUAGUUGGUGGGGUAACGGCCCACCAAGGCGUCGACGGGUAGCCGGCCUGAGAGGGCGACCGGCCACACUGGGACUGAGACACGGCCCAGACUCCUACGGGAGGCAGCAGUGGGGAAUAUUGCGCAAUGGGCGAAAGCCUGACGCAGCAACGCCGCGUGAGGGAUGACGGCCUUCGGGUUGUAAACCUCUUUCAGCAGGGACGAAGCGAAAGUGACGGUACCUGCAGAAGAAGGACCGGCCAACUACGUGCCAGCAGCCGCGGUAAUACGUAGGGUCCGAGCGUUGUCCGGAAUUAUUGGGCGUAAAGGGCUCGUAGGCGGUCCGUCACGUCGGGAGUGAAAACUCGGAGCUCAACUCCGAGCCUGCUUCCGAUACGGGCAGACUAGAGGUAGGCAGGGGAGAGCGGAACUCCUGGUGUAGCGGUGGAAUGCGCAGAUAUCAGGAAGAACACCGGUGGCGAAGGCGGCUCUCUGGGCCUUACCUGACGCUGAGGAGCGAAAGCGUGGGUAGCGAACAGGAUUAGAUACCCUAGUAGUCC